AAAAACCUUACCAACGCACCAGCUGGCUUAGCUAAUUAGUGCGGGCCAGCCGUGUCAUCGCCAGCUCCAAGCCAGGAAGCAAACAAUUCGCUCAACAAACAGAACAUCUAAGGAGGAAUAAAAAGAAAACAGCCACUGUCCCCUCACACCUCCAGAGCAUCCUGCAGCCCAGGACCGGGAAAUGUGACCCAGCAGGAGCCACACUGAGACCAGGACUGAAGUGGAGAAUAGAAUGUGUCAGCAAAAAGACCACCGAGAGCUUCCUCUGGACUGUCCUAACAACAUCCUGUGUACCACCACAUUUAAUUUUCAUAA
rnacentral:lncRNA from 1 species